rnacentral:lncRNA from 1 species
UUUUUUUUUUUUUUUUUUUUUUUUUUUAACAGGAGGUGGGCUCCCUAGCAUGCCUCCACCUUGCCAGACCCUAGACUGGGACAAUUCUUCUGUGGCUACAUCCCCACUUCCACUCGUGCCUUCCAGGCACUAGCACCUUGGAUCCCACUGUGCAUCCGUACCUGUUGGCUUUCCAAGUGUCAAUGCCUGCCAGCUCCUGGUACAUUAUUUCCUCAGCAGCUGGCACGGGAUUUUUUGUUGCCAACUAGAAGCUCAGCUAUUAAAAAAUAAAACUUGGCGCAUCUUGAGUAUCAUAUGUUUUCAUCAGGACUUGGAUCUGUAUUCUGGCACAGCUCACACGAUCACUUUGGGGACCUCUCUCAGGACUAGGAACCCAGUAUUCCUCUGGGUCUUUGACCGUGUUUUCACCUUAUUCUGAAUAUAUUCUCAAACCUUGAAAAACCUAUGAUGCUUACGAUUAAUUCGAGGUCUGUUUUACUUGUGUUUUGCUUGGUUUUAUUGGAUUUUUUUUAACCUUGUCAGUGUUUCUUUAGCACUAGGUUGCUUUCUCUGGCUGUUAUUGUCAGUUUUCUAUCUUAAAUUAUAAAUUCCCGAGAAUAAGAUUCAUGUUUCUCAGGUUAAUGAAUAGCUAACACACAACACUGAAAUGGGGACCUUUACUGCAUGUCUUUGCAUGAACAUGAGGUUAUCCAAGAAGGGAGAUUUUUAUUUGCAGGGAUUGUUAAAUAUUAAGAUAAAUGAAAAGGACAAGUUUUGGAGUUAGAAAGACCUGCAAUAGAGUCCCAGUUCGGCCACUCAUGAAGUGUGUCAUUUUAGACAAAUUUUCAUUGAGCCUCAGCUUCUCCACCCAUAAGAAGAGAUAAUAAUGAUUAAAUGAGGUCAGUGCAUUCAUUAUACACGGUAAGUGUCCAGUAAGCAUUAGAUAUUAUCGAUAUUAAUUCUGGAAUAGCUGUCUGUAAAGGUGGAGGGAUUCUAGGUGAUUGGAUAGCACACUUUCUCAAAAAUGUCAUAAGAUUCUAAAAUUCUGGAAAUGCGUUGGCAGGAGGCCUUAGUAAUUCUCUGCUACUGCUUGCAGCUUCUGAGUAAGCUUUCUGAGCAUCUAAGCUUCCCCUUUACCCAGGGGUAGUACAUGGUGCAAUAUUUGUAAAUAUUUGACUACUGUUUUUUGAUAUUUCAUGUAUUGAAAAGAAGGUGUAGUAUAACCGUAAGAUUUUCCACAUCUGCAGACAAAAGGAAAGUUGGGGUAGUUUAAAAUAACUGCUGCAUGUGGUUCUUUCUGUAUAAUUUUUAGUUUUUUUUCUUCUAAAAGGGUGUUAGAAAAUAUUAAUCUUUUUGUUGCUUUGAGGUCUUAUUUACACUAACUUUACCUCUUCUUCAUAGAUUAAUUUUUCAUUCUAAAUGUUGCAUUCUUCACCGGGAAGUUAAAUAACCAAACCCAGAAUCACUGCAACUUACCUGUGAUUUAGAAAUAGAGUUCUGGAAAUCAUUUAACAAUCUAAAAAAAAAAAAA